rnacentral:lncRNA from 1 species
AUGGCAAGAGCAGCACUUACUAAACUUCUUCUCCUCGUGAUUCUUGCCUUCAUCAUCUGCCUCCCGGAAUUUUUCACAUUUUACCAAGCUUACGAGUCACGUCUGGAGGUGUCAGCUGAGCUUCGUCUGCCCAACGCAGAGACCCUGAAUCUCACCUUGUACGGCCGCAGCAAUCAGAGUUCCUUACACCUCUACCCACCUGAGGAGGAGGAGGAAGAGAAGGGUGGUGAUGAAGGACAGAGGAAGGCAUUCUACUGCUGUCUCCCUCUCCUGCCCAACUCUGAAUCGGCCAAUCAAAGCCGCUGUCUCCUUUGGUUCGCCAAUCAAACGGUUUGGAAUUCAACAGCAAAGGAAAAGCUGCCAUGGAAACGGAAACAAAAAGAUGAGUGGCAGUGUACGCUCAGAGUGGUCUGGCUGGCUCUGCUGUGUUUGGUGUUGCUGAGCAUAGUAACGAGUGUGAUCGGACAAAUCUACAAGAAAAGGCGUUUGUGCAGGAAGCCGAAGGUGCACCCUGAUGGCUUCAACUUAAUUACUCAGCAAUUAAAUGACGGUGCCAAAGAAAAAGAAGUCAGCCCUCCUGAAGGGACAAACCUCCACUCAUACGGGUUUCAUACCUGGUCAGGUCAGUCCUUUUAA